rnacentral:rRNA from 1 species
AUGGGUAAGUUAUAUCUCCCUGCUCCCAUUUUUCCCGCAUUCUUUGUCGUAAGUAUUCACCUUGCCACUUUGCGGCAGGAACUACGAAAAGCCAUAAAGGAGGUCAGCAGCCCUUCUCCACAACCAGAGGACCCUGACCGGGCCCUCGACUCCGGACUUGAAGAAGAUUCAGUUAUAUUCGUGGAGCUGAUAGACCGGCAGUUCUAUCAGUUAAGCUGCGACGAUGCCAUGGUGGCCAUUACGGCCGACUAUCCCGGACUGCUCCCUGCAUCGCAAGUAAGAAAAACCAAAAAUCCCAACUCCAAAACUAGGAUCCCCUUUUAA